rnacentral:rRNA from 1 species
ACUCCUACAGGAGGCAGCAGUGGGGAAUAUUGCACAAUGGGCGCAAGCCUGAUGCAGCAACGCCGUGUGAGUGAAGUAAGGUUUCGGAUACGUAAACUCUGUCCGUAAGGAAGAAACAAUGACGGUACCUUAGGAGGAACGCCCCGGCUAACUACGUGCCAGCAGCCGCGGUAAUACGGUAGGGGCAAGCGUUAUCCGGAAUCACUGGGACGUAAAGGGUGCGUAGGCGGCUUAGCAAGCCAGGGGUGAAAGGCAUUGGCUCAACCAAUGUAAGCCUUUGGAACUGUUAAGCUUGAGUGCAGGAGAGGUAAGUGG